UACGAAGGGGGCUAGCGUUGUUCGGAAUUACUGGGCGUAAAGCGUGCGCAGGCGGCUUCUCAAGUCAGGGGUGAAAGCCCAGAGCUCAACUCUGGAAUUGCCUUUGAAACGGGAACGCUUGAGUCCGAGAGAGGGUGGCGGAAUUCCUAGUGUAGAGGUGAAAUUCGUAGAUAUUAGGAAGAACACCAGUGGCGAAGGCGGCCACCUGGCUCGGUACUGACGCUCAGGUUCGAAAGCGUGGGGAGCAAACAGG
rnacentral:rRNA from 1 species